rnacentral:rRNA from 1 species
UACGUAGGCAGCGAGCGUUGUUCGGAGUUACUGGGCGUAAAGAGUGCGUAGGCGGUUUUCUAAGUUUGGUGUGAGAUCUCCCGGCUCAACUGGGAGGGUGCGCCGAAGACUGGAAGGCUUGAGUAUGGGAGAGGUAAGCGGAAUUCCUGGUGUAGCGGUGAAAUGCGUAGAUAUCAGGAGGAACACCUGCGGUGUAGACGGCUUACUGGACCAUAACUGACGCUGAGGCACGAAAGCGUGGGUAGCAAACAGG